rnacentral:rRNA from 1 species
GACGAACGCUGGCGGCGUGCUUAACACAUGCAAGUCGAACGAAGUGGCGAACGGGUGAGUAACGCGUAAUCAACCUGCCCUUCAGAGGGGGACAACAGUUGGAAACGACUGCUAAUACCGCAUACUGAAGGUGGGGAUUGCGUCUGAUUAGCUAGUUGGUGGGGUAACGGCCCACCAAGGCGAUGAUCAGUAGCCGGGCUGGAGGGGUUAACGGCCACAUUGGGACUGGGACACGGCCCAGGCUCCUACGGGAGGCAGCAGUGGGGAAUUUUCCGCAAUGGACGAAAGUCUGACGGAGCCACUCCGCGUGGGUGAUGACGGCCUUCGGGUUGUAAAGCUCUGUUAAUCGGGACGCGGUACCGGAAUAGAAAGCCACGGCUAACUACGUGCCAGCAGCCGCGGUAAUAC